AGAAUCAACGCUGGCGGCGUGCCUAACACAUGCAAGUCGCACGAGAAAGGGUAGCAAUACCUGAGUACAGUGGCGCACGGGUGAGUAACACGUGAAUCAUCUACCUCCGAGUGGGGAAUAACUGAGAGAAAUCUUAGCUAAUACCGCAUAAUACCCACGGGUCAAAGCAGCAAUGCGCUUGGAGAGGAGUUCGCGGCAGAUUAGUUAGUUGGCGGGGUAAUGGCCCACCAAGACGAUGAUCUGUAUCCGGCCUGAGAGGGCGCACGGACACACUGGAACUGAAACACGGUCCAGACUCCUACGGGAGGCAGCAGUGGGGAAUUUUGCGCAAUGGGGGAAACCCUGACGCAGCAACGCCGCGUGGAGGAUGAAGCCCCUUGGGGUGUAAACUCCUUUCGAUCGGGAAGAUAAUGACGGUACCGAUAUAAGAAGCCCCGGCUAACUUCGUGCCAGCAGCCGC
rnacentral:rRNA from 1 species